CCUACGGGAGGCAGCAGUGGGGAAUAUUGGGCAAUGGGCGCAAGCCUGACCCAGCAACGCCGCGUGAAGGAAGAAGGCCCUCGGGUUGUAAACUUCUUUUAUCAGGGACGAAACAACUGACGGUACCUGCCGAAUAAGCCACCGCUAACUACGUGCCAGCAGCCGCGGUAAUACGUAGGGGGCACGCGUUAUCCGGAUUUACUGGGUGUAAAGGGCGUGUAGGCGGGAGAGCAAGUCAGAUGUGAAAUUCCAGGGCUCAACCCUGGAACUGCAUUUGAUACUGGUUGUCUUGAGUGAUGGAGAGGCAGGCGGAAUUCCGGGUGUAGCGGUGAAAUGCGUAGAGAUACGGAGGAACACCAGUGGCGAAGGCGGCCUGCUGGACAUUAACUGACGCUGAGGCGCGAAAGCGUGGGGAGCAAACAGGAUUAGAUACCCGUGUAGUC
rnacentral:rRNA from 1 species